rnacentral:rRNA from 2 species
UACCGUAUGAGCCCUUCGGGGGAAAGAUUUAUCGCCAAAGGAUUAGCCCGCGUUAGAUUAGGUAGUUGGUGGGGUAAUGGCCUACCAAGCCUACGAUCUAUAGCUGGUUUUAGAGGAUGAUCAGCAACACUGGGACUGAGACACGGCCCAGACUCCUACGGGAGGCAGCAGUGGGGAAUCUUGGACAAUGGGGGCAACCCUGAUCCAGCCAUGCCGCGUGAGUGAUGAAGGCCUUAGGGUCGUAAAGCUCUUUCGCCUGUGAAGAUAAUGACGGUAGCAGGUAAAGAAACCCCGGCUAACUCCGUGCCAGCAGCCGCGGUAAUACGGAGGGGGUUAGCGUUGUUCGGAAUUACUGGGCGUAAAGCGCACGUAGGCGGACCAGAAAGUUGGGGGUGAAAUCCCGGGGCUCAACCCCGGAACUGCCUCCAAAACUAUUGGUCUAGAGUUCGAGAGAGGUGAGUGGAAUUCCGAGUGUAGAGGUGAAAUUCGUAGAUAUUCGGAGGAACACCAGUGGCGAAGGCGGCUCACUGGCUCGAUACUGACGCUGAGGUGCGAAAGUGUGGGGAGCAAACAGGAUUAGAUACCCUGGUAGUCCACACCGUAAACGAUGANUGNCAGUCGUCGGGUAGCAUGCUAUUCGGUGACACACCUAACGGAUUNNNAUUCCGCCUGGGGAGUACGGUCGCNAGANUAAAACUCNAAGGANUNGACGGGGGCCC